rnacentral:rRNA from 1 species
AUUGAACGCUGGCGGCAUGCCUUACACAUGCAAGUCGAACGGCAGCACGGGUGCUUGCACCUGGUGGCGAGUGGCGAACGGGUGAGUAAUACAUCGGAACGUACCUUAUCGUGGGGGAUAACGCAGCGAAAGCUGUGCUAAUACCGCAUACGCCCUGAGGGGGAAAGCGGGGGAUCGAAAGACCUCGCGCGAUUAGAGCGGCCGAUGCCUGAUUAGCUAGUUGGUGGGGUAAAGGCCUACCAAGGCUACGAUCUGUAGUUGGUCUGAGAGGACGACCAGCCACACUGGAACUGAGACACGGUCCAGACUCCUACGGGAGGCAGCAGUGGGGAAUAUUGGACAAUGGGCGAAAGCCUGAUCCAGCCAUGCCGCGUGAGUGAAGAAGGCCUCGGUUGUUAAAGCUCUUUCGGCUGGGAAGAAAUCGCACAGGCUAAUACUCUGUGUGGAUGACGGUACCAGCACAAGAAGCACCGGCUAACUACGUG